rnacentral:lncRNA from 1 species
CGGUGACCCCAUUUUUUCUUUUUCUUAACUGAAAGCAUACAAUUAAAGCUAUCUUCUCAUAUGUUAUCUCAAAAUUCUAUGGUGUAGUUUACGCUUUAUUGCAGAAAAUUGGGGUUUCCAUGCAUAAUCUAUACAAAAUUUGACAAUUUUGAACACUGUGUAGCAUGAAAAAAAGCCCGGUGACCCAUUCUUUUUAUUACUUUUUUUUAAAAAGCAUAAUAUAAACUUCAUUUU